CUCUCCCCCCCCACAAAUAUGUGAAAUUAAUCAUGUAUAAUUUUAAAUGAUUUUCUAGGAUAAAUAACUUUGAAAAAGUAUGGAUCUACCAUGACAUAAAUCAAAAUUUGAUGAAAUUGGAUGCCAGUAACUCCAAACAAGUGUCAUCAAGGCAACCAAGUGAUCUAUAUGACAAUGUUUGACAUGCAUUUAGGUUCAUGUAAACCUUCAUAAUGAGUGC
rnacentral:lncRNA from 1 species